GGGGGGCAAUCAAAUGGCAAGUCCGAACGGCAGCACGGACUUCGGUCUGGUGGCGAGUGGCGAACGGGUGAGUAAUGUAUCGGAACGUGCCCAGUAGCGGGGGAUAACUACGCGAAAGCGUAGCUAAUACCGCAUACGCCCUACGGGGGAAAGCAGGGGAUCGCAAGACCUUGCACUAUUGGAGCGGCCGAUAUCGGAUUAGCUAGUUGGUGGGGUAACGGCUCACCAAGGCGACGAUCCGUAGCUGGUUUGAGAGGACGACCAGCCACACUGGGACUGAGACACGGCCCAGACUCCUACGGGAGGCAGCAGUGGGGAAUUUUGGACAAUGGGGGAAACCCUGAUCCAGCCAUCCCGCGUGUGCGAUGAAGGCCUUCGGGUUGUAAAGCACUUUUGGCAGGAAAGAAACGUCGCGGGUUAAUACCUCGCGAAACUGACGGUACCUGCAGAAUAAGCACCGGCUAACUACGUGCCAGCAGCCGCGGUAAUACGUAGGGUGCAAGCGUUAAUCGGAAUUACUGGGCGUAAAGCGUGCGCAGGCGGUUCGGAAAGAAAGAUGUGAAAUCCCAGAGCUUAACUUUGGAACUGCAUUUUUAACUACCGGGCUAGAGUGUGUC
rnacentral:rRNA from 1 species